rnacentral:lncRNA from 1 species
GGGAGGGACCCCAGAAGGCGGCUGACAGUAUUCCUUUAGCCAGAAAUCCCUUCAGGGAAGAGAAAGGUGCUCCCCUUUGCCUGCUUUUAUACUAGAGACUGUUUCCAACUCCAGCUAGAAGUGACUAUUGCCGAUUAUGUAAUCAGUGGUGACAAGCUCCCUUUGACUGCUCACUUCUCCAGUGAGGCUUCAAGCUUCUAGGCAUCAAGAUUAGUAAGGCUGUCUUCUGGGUGGGCCAGUUUGUUUUUCAGUGACACGAAAACAUUGCCUGGGGUGUGCACUGGGUGAGGCUUGUCAGUCAAGAUAUGAUUUUGCACUUCUGAUGGAUUUUCCAACUAUUCACUACAAGUUAAAGAUACUAGAA